AGUAAUGAAGAAAAAUAGUUUAUAUUAUUGUUUGUCUCAUAGCAGUUGUUCGUUUGCAAUGCAGAGAAAACUUAUUUGAAAUGGAUUCUCAAGAUACAAAGUAUACAUGGCCCUAGCGCUCCUCUGCCUUUUCUCAAAUCCAUUGAGGUGUUUAUCUGUUAACAGAAGUGUUGGUCAUUGGAGAAUUCAGGUGAGCUUUGUUGCUGUGUAUUUUGGAUCUCAAUGCAUUAGUGUGCAUUCAUGUGUUUUGAUGGUGUUCUACUGUUUAUUGAUUGGUUCUUUUACAUGGGGAUAUUAUAAAAUUGUCCAUGAAAAUAUGUAUCCUUUUGGAAAUAUGAUAUAAUCUUUCACUAAAUUAUGGCUUCAGUUUGUAUUAUCUUUUAUGUGCAUCAUGAUAAUUCAAAACAUGCUUGGGUUGGGUUUCUGCGAUGCUACUAAAAUGAAGUCACUAGUAGAAAUACACAUAUGAAAAUAUGAUUUAGAUAAUAGCUUGUACUAAGAAAUAUGAUACUCUACUUCGAUAACUCCUUGCCUUAUGCAUAACCGUUCUUCAUUUUGCAGCAUUCCUGGUUAUUAUGAGGCAUUCUGGAAGGAGUUGGAUGGUGUCAAGCAAAUCUCGAAGAACAGAAAGCAAAUCUGGAAGAACAGAAAGGAACUCAAAUAGAUUAAUAAUCAUGUAUCGAUGAAUUACAUUCUUUCCUAGAAGUGUCAUAGCCAUUGUAAAUAAUUUAUGUAAACGUUUGUAAAUAAUUUAUGUAUCUCUCUACUAUUUUGGUGAA